UACGAAGGGGGCUAGCGUUGCUCGGAAUCACUGGGCGUAAAGGGUGCGUAGGCGGGUUAUUAAGUCAGAGGUGAAAUCCUGGAAGCUCAACUCCAGAACUGCCUUUGAUACUGAUAGUCUUGAGUAUGGGAGAGGUGAGUGGAACUGCGAGUGUAGAGGUGAAAUUCGUAGAUAUUCGCAAGAACACCAGUGGCGAAGGCGGCUCACUGGCCCAUUACUGACGCUGAGCAC
rnacentral:rRNA from 1 species